UGCGCAGGCGGUUAUGUAAGACAGAUGUGAAAUCCCCGGGCUCAACCUGGGAACUGCAUUAGUGACUGCAUAGCUAGAGUACGGUAGAGGGGGAUGGAAUUCCGCGUGUAGCAGUGAAAUGCGUAGAUAUGCGGAGGAACACCGAUGGCGAAGGCAAUCCCCUGGACCUGUACUGACGCUCAUGCACGAAAGCGUGGGGAGCAAACAGGAUUAGAUACCCUGGUAGUCCACGCCCUAAACGAUGUCAACUGGUUGUUGGGAAUUCACUUUCUCAGUAACGAAGCUAACGCGUGAAGUUGACCGCCUGGGGAGUACGGCCGCAAGGUUAAA
rnacentral:rRNA from 1 species